rnacentral:rRNA from 1 species
AUCAAUAAGCGGAGGAAGAGAAAACAACAGUGAUUCCCNCAGUAGCGGCGAGCGAACAGGGAAGAGCCCAGCGCCGAAUCCCGCGCCCGAGAGGGCGCCGGGAAAUGUGGCGUUAGGGGACGAGCGUCCCCGACCGUGCAGGCACGCGGCAAGUCCCCCUGACCGGGGCUGUCUACCCAGAGCGGGUGCGAGGCCCAUAGCCGCGGCCGCGCGGGCGGGAUGCGAAUCCCCGGGAGUCGGGUUGCUUGGGAGUGCAGCCCAAAGCAGGUGGUAAACUCCACCUAAGGCUAAAUACGACCGUGAGACCGAUAGCAAACAA